rnacentral:rRNA from 1 species
CGGCAUGCCUUACACAUGCAAGUCGAACGGCAGCACGGGAGCAAUCCUGGUGGCGAGUGGCGAACGGGUGAGUAAUACAUCGGAACGUGUCCUGUAGUGGGGGAUAGCCCGGCGAAAGCCGGAUUAAUACCGCAUACGAUCUACGGAAGAAAGCGGGGGAUCCUUCGGGACCUCGCGCUAUAGGGGCGGCCGAUGGCAGAUUAGCUAGUUGGUGGGGUAAAGGCCUACCAAGGCGACGAUCUGUAGCUGGUCUGAGAGGACGACCAGCCACACUGGGACUGAGACACGGCCCAGACUCCUACGGGAGGCAGCAGUGGGGAAUUUUGGACAAUGGGGGAAACCCUGAUCCAGCAAUGCCGCGUGUGUGAAGAAGGCCUUCGGGUUGUAAAGCACUUUUGUCCGGAAAGAAAACCUUUGGGCUAAUACCCUGAGGGGAUGACGGUACCGGAAGAAUAAGCACCGGCUAACUACGUGCCAGCAGCCGCGGUAAUACGU